rnacentral:rRNA from 2 species
AAGGCUCCCAGUAGACGACUGGGUUGAUAGGCCAGAUGUGGAAGCCCGGUAACGGGUGGAGCUGACUGGUACUAAUAGGCCGAGGGCUUGUCCU